rnacentral:rRNA from 1 species
GCAUACGAUCUGUGGAUGAAAGCAGGGGAUCGUCGGACCUUGUGCUAUUGGAAUGGCCGAUAUCUGAUUAGCUAGUUGGUAGGGUAAAAGCCUACCAAGGCGACGAUCAGUAGCUGGUCUGAGAGGACGACCAGCCACACUGGAACUGAGACACGGUCCAGACUCCUACGGGAGGCAGCAGUGGGGAAUUUUGGACAAUGGGGGCAACCCUGAUCCAGCAAAGCCGCGUGAGUGAAGAAGGCCCUCGGGUUGUAA